UACAGAGGUCUCAAGCGUUGUUCGGAUUCAUUGGGCGUAAAGGGUGUGUAGGUGGCGCGCUAAGUCGGGGUGUGAAAUUUCGGAGCUUAACUCCGAAACUGCAUUCGAUACUGGCGUGCUUGAGGACUGGAGAGGAGACUGGAAUUCAUGGUGUAGCAGUGAAAUGCGUAGAGAUCAUGAGGAAGACCAGUGGCGAAGGCGGGGUCUCUGGACAGUUCCUGACACUGAGACACGAAGGCCAGGGGAGCAAACGGG
rnacentral:rRNA from 1 species